rnacentral:misc_RNA from 1 species
CAACCCCUAAGCACAGCUUAUUGUUGGGAAUCCACGCCUGUGGUUCCUCAAAGACAUUGGCGGAGUGGCAGUAGUCCUCUGAGCGUAGUAAUUCUUUAUCUCGCUUUUGUUAGGUGCUGCCCCCCGGCCGUAAAACCCCCAAUUUUUUCU